rnacentral:rRNA from 1 species
AUACGGAGGAUGCGAGCGUUAUCCGGAUUCAUUGGGUAUAAAGGGUGCGUAGGCGGCCCCCCAAGUCGGCGGUGAAAUGUCCGGGCCCAACCCGGAGGGUGCCGUUGAUACUGGGGGGCUGGAGUACGGACGCCGGCGGAGGAAUGAGUGGUGUAGCGGUGAAAUGCAUAGAGAUCACAAAGAACACCGAUUGCGAAGGCAUCUAACGAAGGGGCUAUUGACGCUGAGGCACGAAAGCGUGGGGAUCAAACAGGAUUAGAUACCCUGGUAGUCCACGCAGUAAACGAUGAUGACUAACCGUCGGUCAAGACUGAUCGGUGGCCAAGCGAAAGCGAUAAGUCAUCCACCUGGGGAGUACGACCGCAAGGUUGAAACUCAAAUGAAUUGACGGGG